rnacentral:rRNA from 1 species
CAGUAGCCACGGGAAUACGUAGGUGGCAAGCGUUGUCCGGAAUUAUUGGGCGUAAAGGGCUCGCAGGCGGUUUCUUAAGUCUGAUGUGAAAGCCCCCGGCUCAACCGGGGAGGGUCAUUGGAAACUGGGAAACUUGAGUGCAGAAGAGGAGAGUGGAAUUCCAUGUGUAGCGGUGAAAUGCGUAGAGAUGUGGAGGAACACCAGUGGCGAAGGCGACUCUCUGGUCUGUAACUGACGCUGAGGAGCGAAAGCGUGGGGAGCGAACAGGAUUAGAUACCCCGGUAGUCCCUGUCUCUUAUAC